GACAGAGGGUGCAAACGUUGUUCGGAAUUACUGGGCGUAAAGCGCGUGUAGGCGGUCUCGCAAGUCGGAUGUGAAAGCCCAGGGCUCAACCCUGGAAGUGCACUCGAUACUGCGAGGCUAGAGUCCCGGAGAGGGUGGUGGAACUCUCGGUGUAGAGGUGAAAUUCGUAGAUAUCGAGAAGAACACCGGUGGCGAAGGCGGCCAUCUGGACGGUGACUGACGCUGAGACGCGAAAGCGUGGGGAGCAAACAGG
rnacentral:rRNA from 1 species